UACAGAGGUCCCAAGCGUUGUUCGGAUUUACUGGGCGUAAAGGGUGCGUAGGCGGUUGGGUAAGUCUGACGUGAAAUCUCCGAGCCUAACUCGGAAACUGCGUUGGAUACUAUCCGGCUAGAGGAAUGGAGGGGAGACUGGAAUACUUGGUGUAGCAGUGAAAUGCGUAGAUAUCAAGUGGAACACCAGUGGCGAGGGCGAGUCUCUGGACAUUUCCUGACGCUGAGGCACGAAAGCCAGGGGAGCAAACGGG
rnacentral:rRNA from 1 species